rnacentral:rRNA from 1 species
AACGAACGCUGGCGGCAUGCCUAACACAUGCAAGUCGAACGAGACCUUCGGGUCUAGUGGCGCACGGGUGCGUAACGCGUGGGAACCUGCCCUUAGGUUCGGAAUAACUCCCCGAAAGGGGUGCUAAUACCGGAUAAUGUCUUCGGACCAAGGAUUUAUCGCCUUUGGAUGGGCCCGCGUUGGAUUAGCUAGUUGGUAGGGUAAAAGCCUACCAAGGCGACGAUGCAUAGCUGGUCUGAGAGGAUGAUCAGCCACACUGGGACUGAGACACGGCCCAGACUCCUACGGGAGGCAGCAGUGGGGAAUAUUGGACAAUGGGCGAAAGCCUGAUCCAGCAAUGCCGCGUGAGUGAUGAAGGCCUUAGGGUUGUAAAGCUCUUUUACCCGGGAUGAUAAUGACAGUACCGGGAGAAUAAGCUCCGGCUAACUCCGUG